GAGUGAACGCUGGCGGUAGGCCUAACACAUGCAAGUCGAACGGCAGCACAGGAGAGCUUGCUCUCUGGGUGGCGAGUGGCGGACGGGUGAGGAAUACAUCGGAAUCUGCCCAGUCGUGGGGGAUAACGUAGGGAAACUUACGCUAAUACCGCAUACGACCUUCGGGUGAAAGAGGGGGAUCGCAAGACCUCUCGCGAUUGGAUGAGCCGAUGUCGGAUUAGCUAGUUGGCGGGGUAAUGGCCCACCAAGGCGACGAUCCGUAGCUGGUCUGAGAGGAUGAUCAGCCACACUGGAACUGAGACACGGUCCAGACUCCUACGGGAGGCAGCAGUGGGGAAUAUUGGACAAUGGGCGCAAGCCUGAUCCAGCCAUACCGCGUGGGUGAAGAAGGCCUUCGGGUUGUAAAGCCCUUUUGUUGGGAAAGAAAUCGUUCAGGCUAAUACCCUGGGAGGAUGACGGUACCCAAAGAAUAAGCACCGGCUAACUUCGUG
rnacentral:rRNA from 1 species